rnacentral:miRNA from 1 species
UCCAAUUUGGGGAUUUGCUGAU